ACUCUCAGUCAACUUGUGGCCAUUAUUCCUAAGUACUCCUGGAGGGGCUCUCGCUUCUGGCUCCAAGCGCCCGGCGCGUGCUGGGCGCAACCCACUCCAGGGACAGCGUCAGGUGGGGAGUUUGACAGGGGCAGUACACCUGUUAAACUGUAACACAGGUAUCCUAAGGUGAGCUCAGGGAGGACAGAAACCUCCCAUGGAGCAGAAGGACAAAAACUCAGUUGAUCUUGAUUUUCCUUGUUGUUGUUGUUGUUGUUAUGAGAAAAACAGAUUCAAUUUCUUCUGUACAAGAGUGGGUGU
rnacentral:ncRNA from 1 species